GAUCAUGGCUCAGGAUGAACGCUGGCGGCGUGCCUAACACAUGCAAGUCGAGCGGGAAAUCCGUGACGGAUCCUUCGGGUGACGGAUCGGAUGGAGAGCGGCGGACGGGUGAGUAACGCGUAGGUAACCUGCCCUGUACAGAGGGAUAGCCACUGGAAACGGUGAUUAAUACCUCAUAAUGCCGGAUCUGCACAUGCAGGACCGGUCGAAGUUUUUUCGGUACAUGAUGGACCUGCGU
rnacentral:rRNA from 1 species